UGUUUUCUGUUAAAGAACACAAUGGCCUA
rnacentral:piRNA from 1 species